UGAGGAAUUUUGCACAAUGGGCGCAAGCCUGAUGCAGCGACGCCGCGUGCGGGAUGAAGGGGCUUUGCCUUGUAAACCGCUGUCAAGAGGGAAGAGAAGUUGGAAUUCGUUCCGACCGGGACUGUACCUCUGGAGGAAGGGUCGGCUAACUACGUGCCAGCAGCCGCGGUAAUACGUAGGACCCAAGCGUUGUCCGGAAUUACUGGGUGUAAAGGGUGCGCAGGCGGGUCUGUGCGUCAGGGGUUAAAGACUCCGGCUUAACCGGAGAAGUGCCCUUGAUACGGCAGGCCUUGAGUGUGAGAGAGGAUGGUGGAAUUCCUGGUGUAGCGGUGAAAUGCGUAGAUAUCAGGAGGAACACCAGUGGCGAAGGCGGCCAUCUGGCUCAUUACUGACGCUCAGGCACGAAAGCGUGGGUAGCAAACAGG
rnacentral:rRNA from 1 species